rnacentral:rRNA from 3 species
UUUGACCUCAAAUCAGGUAGGACUACCCGC